rfam:Musa acuminata subsp. malaccensis Doubled-haploid Pahang (DH-Pahang) genomic chromosome, chr2
GUUCCCAAUGAUGCCUAUGUUAACCAUGCUAAUGCUGAAAUACUUUGAAGAUAAUUUGUUGUUUGACCUGAGGGAACC